AAUGAACGCUGGCGGCAGGCCUAACACAUGCAAGUCGAACGGGUCCUUCGGGACUAGUGGCGGACGGGUGAGUAACGCGUGGGAACGUGCCCUUUGCUUCGGAAUAGCCCCGGGAAACUGGGAGUAAUACCGGAUGUGCCCUUUGGGGGAAGGAUUUAUCGGCAAAGGAUCGGCCCGCGUUGGAUUAGGUAGUUGGUGGGGUAAUGGCCUACCAAGCCGACGAUCCAUAGCUGGUUUGAGAGGAUGAUCAGCCACACUGGGACUGAGACACGGCCCAGACUCCUACGGGAGGCAGCAGUGGGGAAUCUUAGACAAUGGGGGAAACCCUGAUCUAGCCAUGCCGCGUGAUCGAUGAAGGCCUUAGGGUUGUAAAGAUCUUUCAGCUGGGAAGAUAAUGACUGUACCAGCAGAAGAAGCCCCGGCUAACUCCGUGCCAGCAGCCGCGGUAACAC
rnacentral:rRNA from 1 species